rnacentral:lncRNA from 13 species
AAUAAAAUUUCCCAUGUAACAAUUUGAAACAUAUUUUAUUGUGGCAAAAUACACAUAACAAGAUUCAGCAUCAGAAUUUUUUUUUUUUUUUUUUUUGAGACAGAGUCUCCCUCUGUCACCAGGCCGGAGUACAGUGGCGUGAUCUCAGCUCACGGCAAUCUCCGCCUCCAGGGUUCAAAUCCUGCCUCAGCCUCCCGAGUAGCUGGGAAUACAGGUGGGUGCCAUAACAUGCAACUAAUUUGUUUGUGUUUUUAGUAGAGACAGGAUUUCACCGUGUUGGCCAGGAUGUUCUCAGUCUCCUGGUCUCGUGAUCUGCUGGCCUUGGCCUCCCAAAGUGCUGCGAUUACAGGCUGGAGGCACCGCACCCGGCCAGAAUCAUUUCAAGUAUAGAACUGAAUGGCGUGAAGAUUCCACUCACAUUCUUGUGCAGCCACCAGCACCCUCCACCUCCAGAGCUCUCUCACCUCCCAAACUGAAGCUCUGUCCUCGCUGAUCAGUCACUCCUUGCCCCCUCGUCCCUGGCGCCCACCAUUCUACUUUCUGUGUCUGCAUCUGAGGAUUCCAGGGUGUUCACGAUGUGACUUUGUGAAUCUUUGGGGAUUGAUCAGCUGACCAUGGAGGAAAUUCAUGAAAAGUUCAUGACAAGUGACUCUAGUGAAUCAACAAGUCCCGCUGACCACCUGUGCUGUAUCCUGGCUCAGGGCCUGCUGGAGGGGCUGGGCCGGCCACAUCUUCUACACAGCCCUCGGCCAGGGAUGACGGAAUGGAGGAGGAACACCCAGCUCCCUCUCCCUUUGGCAGUGAAUGUGAAAAUACACAAAGGGCCUUGCCGGCCACCCUUGCUUCGAGUCACUUCCUGGGACUUUUACAUUGCCAGGUGCUGGCACAGAGCCCAGUCUUGCAGGCGGCAAGAAGGCCCUGGGGGCACAUUCUCUCUGCAUGUGUGUGGCAGGAGCCUGCCAUGCCUACACACUGCCACCCAGAGACUCAGGUGAAGCGGAUCAAACAUGAAGAACUGUGUCCCCUGUGCUCUUGUGUGAGGCCAGGAGCCCCCAGGAACGCCAACAGCCAGGGGAGAAGGCAGGAGCAGAACGGGUCUGUUUGGAAAGGGUUUCUUUCCGAGUGGGGACAGCAGCUCUGCAGUGCCUGCUGUGGCUCGACCCUCAGACAUGUCCACGACCAUCACAUCCAGAAGGCCACGCCAUUCACAUUCAGGGUCAAGCAUGCUAUACCUCUGCCACUAUCCUCUCCUCAGCAAUGGCAGGAAGGGGUCUUGGAGAGCAAGAGGAACCCACACACACUGCGGUUGGAAGUGCAAGUCAGGGAAACCACUUUGAAAAGUUUGCGUUUCUACCGAAACUGAGUCUAAGUAUACUGUAUGACCCAGCAGCUUCAGUCCUAGGAAUACGCCCCACAGAGAUGCUUGGACAAGUCACAAGACACAUGUAUGAGGAUGUUACAUCAUGAUGCAUCAUACUCCCAAGUUAGAGACACCCCAAGUGGCCAUCAGCAGGGGACUUGGUGAAGGAAUUGCCAUAUGUUCCCAGAGCAGAUACCAUACAGUGGCAGAUACUGGUAGCCUUCAGCUGCACAUGUCAACAUGGAGGAAUCUCACAAAUGUAAUGUCGAGCAGAAGCCAGAUGCAAGUGAGCACAUCUGUGUAAUUUCACGUGAACAAUGCUGCCAGCAUGCACCUGUGCUUAGCAAUCCAUGCUUCCGUGGUAAAUCUACAAAGGGAAGGAGGCAAUUACCUUGAGGCAGAACGUCAGUGACCUUUGUGGGGAGAGGGCUGUGGAUGGGACGGGCUGGAGGGAGGUUCUGGGGAGUCAGGACUUGGGUGCUGGCCAUGUGGGGUUUGCUUCCUGGUAGUGCGUUGGACUGUUAGGUUUGUGGCACAUUUUUACAUGUACCACACUUGACAGUAAAAAUGAUUUAGAAAAAAUAAAAGUGUUUCAAGCAUGUCUGUCA